rnacentral:rRNA from 1 species
GAUGAACGCUGGCGGCGUGCUUAACACAUGCAAGUCGAACGAUGAAGCCGGAGCUUGCUCUGGUGGAUUAGUGGCGAACGGGUGUGUAACACGUGAGUAACCUGCCCUUGACUCUGGGAUAAGCGCUGGAAACGGCGUCUAAUACCGGAUACGAGCUUCCACCGCAUGGUGAGUUGCUGGAAAGAAUUUCGGUCAAGGAUGGACUCGCGGCCUAUCAGCUUGUGGGUGAGGUAACGGCUCACCAAGGCGACGACGGGUAGCCGGCCUGAGAGGGUGACCGGCCACACUGGGACUGAGACACGGCCCAGACUCCUACGAGAGGCAGCAGUGGGGAAUAUUGCACAAUGGGCGCAAGCCUGAUGCAGCAACGCCGCGUGAGGGACGAAGGCCUUCGGGUCGUAAACCUCUUUUAGCAGGGAAGAAGCGAAAGUGACGGUACCUGCAGAAAAAGCACCGGCUAACUACGUGCCAGCCGCCGCGGUAAUAC